GUUGUAUUUAACCUCCGUAAUGGCCAAUGAUAAUGGCGAUUCUGAUCCAACCAUUAAUUCAUACAUUGCUGUGCCUCUUGCCUGAGGAUGGAAGUUCAAUAUGUAGCUACAGUAACGUUAGAUGUAGAAGGCUAAUGUUACCUCGAUUGGAAGUUAGGCUAGCGAACAAGCAUUUUAGCCAGGUAGCCUAGGACAACAAACAAAUAAAAGCGUGGACUGCUGAAUGACCGAGUGAUAAGACCGUGUCCUCAACAUGAAAGAGAGGAGGAUGGCAUUGGCGUUUCUCUACAAGUAGGGUGGAGCGCAGCAUAAGACCAACAGACGUCCUAAUAAUGUGCAGUCUGCUGACACUGGAUGACUGGAAACAGCAGAGAUGAAGGAGCUAUGGGUUAUAGCUGUCUUUGCUACAGAUGAACGUGGUACCUUCAGGCGUUUGGAAAUUGCUCCCAAGGAUAAACCAGACUUGUG
ensembl:lncRNA